AUUGAACGCUGGCGGCAGGCCUAACACAUGCAAGUCGAGCGGAUGAAGGGAGCUUGCUCCUGGAUUCAGCGGCGGACGGGUGAGUAAUGCCUAGGAAUCUGCCUGGUAGUGGGGGAUAACGUCCGGAAACGGGCGCUAAUACCGCAUACGUCCUGAGGGAGAAAGUGGGGGAUCUUCGGACCUCACGCUAUCAGCUGAUCCUAGGUCGGAUUAGCUAGUUGGUGGGGUAAAGGCCUACCAAGGCGACGAUCCGUAACUGGUCUGAGAGGAUGAUCAGUCACACUGGAACUGAGACACGGUCCAGACUCCUACGGGAGGCAGCAGUGGGGAAUAUUGGACAAUGGGCGAAAGCCUGAUCCAGCCAUGCCGCGUGUGUGAAGAAGGUCUUCGGAUUGUAAAGCACUUUAAGUUGGGAGGAAGGGCAGUAAGUUAAUACCUUGCUGUUUUGACGUUACCAACAGAAUAAGCACCGGCUAACUUCGUG
rnacentral:rRNA from 1 species